GAUGAAGAACGCAGCGAAAUGCGAUAAGUAAUGUGAAUUGCAGAAUUCAGUGAAUCAUCGAAUCUUUGAACGCAUAUUGCGCCCCCUGGAAUUCCGGGGGGCAUGCCUGUUCGAGCGUCUCAGGGACGAACCCUCGCGCGGGUGUACGCGCGGUCGUGGCUGCGGUGGCGUGCCCGAGGCGGCGGCCACCGCGCUGGAAUCCAUGGGCGGACGCCUGCCGCGUGGCCGAGCGUGAUAUGACGCAUUGGCGCUCGCACGCGGCGAGGCUGCCAGCCCUGGCCCGUCUGUCGGGCGGGGGAGAGCAAGACACGUGAACUCCUCGAAUCAGGUAGGGAUACCCGCUGAACUUAAGCAUAUCAAUAAGCGGAGGA
rnacentral:misc_RNA from 1 species